AAUCCGAUUUCUUUGGCGCCGCGAUUUGAAGGUACCGUUUGAGGAGGAAGUCCUCCUGAUUAAAAAAUAUAUGGGGUUAUAGGUACCGCAAACGCUUAGUUUACGAGAUAUUCGACCUUGAAGUUCAAAAAUUCGCAAAAUUCGAACUUUUCAAGAAGCUAUUUCACCACGUUAAACCCACUUUAUUCACAUUUUUCUCUUCAAAUUAAUUAAAUUACACUAUAAUCUUUUAAAUAAAUCCACAUUUUACACUUUUA